AAGUUUUUUUUUUCCUUGAGUCAUGCUAAUAGAUGGUUCAAUACAUGAAUAAGUCCCUUGCUGAAAUGCUUUAGGACUUCAGACUACCCUGAACGUUGAUUACUCUUUAUACUGAAAUAGGCAUUAUUCAGUGGAAGAGAGGGAAGACCAAAUUGAUAGACUGGACUUUAUUCGAAACCAGAUGAACCUUUUAACACUGGAUGUUAAGAAAAAAAUCAAGGAGGUUACCGAGGAGGUGGCAAACAAAGUUUCAUGUGCAAUGACAGAUGAAAUUUGUCGACUGUCUGUUUUGGUUGAUGAAUUUUGUUCAGAGUUUCAUCCUAAUCCAGAUGUAUU
rnacentral:sRNA from 1 species